CUAAGGAGCAUUCUCCAGUGAGCUUCUCGAACAGUCGAGAUCGCUUCUGGCAGAGACAGUUUCGGACUCACACGUAGUCCGGCUGAAGCUCAUGGGUGGAACGCUGACAAGCUUCAUCGCAUCAUGCUCGGUCCUCAGCGGUCGAGCGCGGUGAAUAUAUCGACACACUGUUGGGUCCUGAAAGAACAGACGUUCUUUCCAGGCAAAAGACGAUCUACUCGGAUGUCGAGUGAAACCGCCGGUUCUCCGGUAGGUCCUCCGAGGAAUUCUGGGUGGGUGUGUUGUUUGAGAACUGCACAGCGGACGCGAGCAUCUUUGUUAGUAAGUGUGUAAGAGCGUAC
rnacentral:misc_RNA from 1 species